GGCAGCAGUGGGGAAUCUUCGGCAAUGGGCGAAAGCCUGACCGAGCAACGCCGCGUGAAUGAUGAAGGCCUUCGGGUUGUAAAAUUCUGUUAUAAGGGAAGAACGACUUUAGUAGGAAAUGGCUAAAGUGUGACGGUACCUUAUGAGAAAGCCACGGCUAACUACGUGCCAGCAGCCGCGGUAAUACGUAGGUGGCAAGCGUUAUCCGGAAUUAUUGGGCGUAAAGAGCGCGCAGGUGGUUGAUUAAGUCUGAUGUGAAAGCCCACGGCUUAACCGUGGAGGGUCAUUGGAAACUGGUCGACUUGAGUGCAGAAGAGGGAAGUGGAAUUCCAUGUGUAGCGGUGAAAUGCGUAGAGAUAUGGAGGAACACCAGUGGCGAAGGCGGCUUCCUGGUCUGUAACUGACACUGAGGCGCGAAAGCGUGGGGAGCAAACAGGAUUAGAUACCCUGGUAGUCCACGCCGUAAACGAUGAGUACUAGGUGU
rnacentral:rRNA from 1 species